rnacentral:pre_miRNA from 1 species
ACUGUUGAGCCAUCUCUCCAGCCUCAUAUUGGAUCAUUUAAAACUACUGGAUGGGGCUGGAGAGAUGGCUCAGCGGU